GGCUUUUUAAGAGGACAAGACUUAUCCAGCAAUCUCUGACGGUGUGAGAUACAGUACAGCUGCUACCACAUUUGUCUGGAUCACAUACCUCCUUGGUAGCCAUCCCCCCAUCUGCAACAAACCUGAUAACCACACUGACCAGCAGAACCAUCAAGAGGUAUCUCUUCAGACUAUCCUGAAACCAGGAACUCAACAUAAUAAACAGGCUUCUGUGUUCAGAAGCCCUUUGUUACACAUCCAAGCCAAAGACCAGCGGCCAUGAGAACUUGUUGGCUCCCUCCCUGCAUGAUCUCAUUUCUGAGCCAGAAGGUACAGCUAAGCAACACCAGAUGAACAUUGGAGGCUAUCCAGGCAUACAUCAAGAUCUCGGUCACAUCAACCCACUGCCAGAUGUCCAGUACUGCACAGAAGGUGAGACCUCAGUGGGGGCCACCCAUACUUUCUCUGUAGGAAGAGGACACUCAGCUCCUUCAGGACUCAAACUCAUCUGCAAAAACAAUAAUGUUGCCAUCUGUGAAAAUGAGAAAACCUUUCCUGUGAUGGUCCCAACCCUGAAGAGUCUUCAAUGUCAUAUGUUAAAAGUUAUGGAGAGCAAACAGAUAGUACUUCCUGCCUUCAUUUGUUUAUUUAGGAUCAAAUCCAUCCCUAAGACAGUGAUUUCAUGCUUGGAAUGACCUACUUAUAGUUGAGUAAUCAUACAGAAGUAAAGGCAGAAAGGAAUCUGCUUUUUUAAUGUCAAAAUUUAAAAAAAAAAAAAAGUGAUAAAAACAAG
rnacentral:lncRNA from 1 species